rnacentral:tmRNA from 1 species
GGGGAUGAAUGGUAUCGACGGAGGUGGAGCGUCACAGAUUGCAAACCGAGAGGCGCCGAACUCGUUAACUCAGCGCACACACAAGUGCCAAUCGCACUGACUAUGCUGCUCUACCCGUAGCCGCGUAAGCGGAUUACAAGUAGACCGGCGCUCUCCCAGGAGAGCUCGCCACCUCAAGCUUCGCCCUAGCAGUGCGAGGGAUGGCGAUCAAAAUGUUGGGGCUGGCAGAAUUGGAUCCACGACAGUUCUGUAAGAGCGGGUUUAGGCUCGCAGUGGAUAGUUGAAAUGCUCGUCUGUCAAUCGACGUCAUCUCAGCAAAAUCAAAGAUUGACUAUGUUUGUAGACAUCUGCUGACUGAAUCCUUCGGACGCGGGUUCGAAUCCCGCCAUCUCCACAA